rnacentral:rRNA from 1 species
UACGAAGGGGGCUAGCGUUGCUCGGAAUCACUGGGCGUAAAGCGCACGUAGGCGGAUUGUUAAGUCAGGGGUGAAAUCCUGGAGCUCAACUCCAGAACUGCCUUUGAUACUGGCGAUCUUGAGUCCGGGAGAGGUGAGUGGAAUUCCUAGUGUAGAGGUGAAAUUCGUAGAUAUUAGGAAGAACACCAGUGGUGAAGGCGGCUCACUGGCCCGGUACUGACGCUGAGGCACGAAAGCGUGGGGAGCAAACAGGG